UACGAAGGGGGCUAGCGUUGUUCGGAAUUACUGGGCGUAAAGCGCACGUAGGCGGACUUUUAAGUCAGGGGUGAAAUCCCGGGGCUCAACCCCGGAACUGCCUUUGAUACUGGAAGUCUUGAGUGUGGUAGAGGUGAGUGGAAUUGCGAGUGUAGAGGUGAAAUUCAUAGAUAUCGUAAGGAAGACCAGUGGCGAAGGCGAAUCUCUGGACAGUUACUGACACUGAGGCACGAAGGCCAGGGGAGCAAACGGG
rnacentral:rRNA from 1 species